rnacentral:rRNA from 1 species
GAUUUCUGGCUUGAAACAUUUGGCCGGCCACGGUUUCGUGUGUUAGUGCUUUGUGUUCUGGCCAUCCUUCCAAUGGCUGCUCACUUUUCUUCAUUGAUUGGUGAGUGGUAUUGGAUCUUUUACUUUGAAAAAAUUAGAGUGUUUCAAGCAGGCGUUUGCUAUGAAUACAUUAGCAUGGAAUAAUAAUCUAGGACUUCCGUCCUAUUUUGUUGGUUUCUAGAAUGGAAGUAAUGAUUGAUAGGGAUAGUUGGGGGUGCUAGUAUUCAGUGGCCAGAGGUGAAAUUCUCGGAUUCACUGAAGACUAACUUAUGCGAAAGCAUU